UGGGGAAUUUUGGACAAUGGGCGAAAGCCUGAUCCAGCAAUGCCGCGUGUGUGAAGAAGGCCUUCGGGUUGUAAAGCACUUUUGUCCGGAAAGAAAUCCUUGGCUCUAAUACAGUCGGGGGAUGACGGUACCGGAAGAAUAAGCACCGGCUAACUACGUGCCAGCAGCCGCGGUAAUACGUAGGGUGCAAGCGUUAAUCGGAAUUACUGGGCGUAAAGCGUGCGCAGGCGGUUUGCUAAGACCGAUGUGAAAUCCCCGGGCUCAACCUGGGAACUGCAUUGGUGACUGGCAGGCUAGAGUAUGGCAGAGGGGGGUAGAAUUCCACGUGUAGCAGUGAAAUGCGUAGAGAUGUGGAGGAAUACCGAUGGCGAAGGCAGCCCCCUGGGCAAUACUGACGCUCAUGCACGAAAGCGUGGGGAGCAAACAGGAUUAGAUACCCCUGGUAGUCCACGCCCUAAACGAUGUCAACUAGUUGUUGGGGAUUCAUUUUCCUAGUAACGUAGCUAACGCGUGAAGUUGACCGCCUGGGGAGUACGUCGCAAGAUUAAAACUCAAAGGAAUUGACGGGGUCAUAGCUG
rnacentral:rRNA from 1 species